UUUUUUCUUUUAAGGGGGAGAGAAAUUAAAUAAGAGGUUCUCACACCUCUGCAAUCUGUUUGUACUUACCGUGUGUCUUAGCACCUGACCAGCCAGCCGGUGGGUCGUAAAAGUGUAUGCAGGUACCAGCGGGACAGGAGAUGGGGGCCCCUGGGGUAUGGCUGGGAUGGAGGCCACCUUCCCGUUGGCCUUUCAGGGAAUCUCACACUUUUCCCUUUUAAAACACAUGGUGUUCUUUUUAAUAACGGCAGCAACUCCGCAUUGGGAAAGGGGGAAAUAAGCUUGUAUAGGCCCCGGCUUUGUGGAAAGGAGGGGAAGAGGGAAGAAAAAAGGAGGGGUGUCUCCUCCAGGCUUAGGGGGCUGCUGUCAGCUGCUGCUCUGUCUAGCUUGGCAUGUGUGUGCCCCAGUCCCCAGUGGCUUUGGCCCAUUGUUUGUGGAAGCCAAGAGGGAGACUGGAGUCCUCUAUCUCUGGUACUCCAGAGUCAGGCUUCUCAGUCCGAGCCCAGAGAACGUCUUCCCUGUUUUAUGGAGGGAAUCAGGGAAGGGGGUGCCAGGUGGUUCUGCUGAGGACUGUACCAGUCGCUCGAAGGAGAAAGCUUGGGCUUGCCCCCCUCCCCCCUCAAGCCACGAAGGGCAGCUGCUAGGCUAGUGUGGUAAAAGGGCAUUACUCCCCAGCCAGGACCCCCCAGAGAGUCCCCUUCCUGGCCAGACAAAUGCUGGGGAGGGACAGAGGGGUGUGAUCAUUGCCCAGGAGUGCAGACAGUGGGGUCCCGGGUCGGGCAGUGCCUCCCACCCUGCUGAGGGGGGCGCCCAGGCAGGAAGCGGUGGGUGGGCCGGGGUAGAGACGCUGGCACGUCCCAGUUCAUGCCGAAGGAAUUCUGAAUUAGCGGGCGGCUGGCUGCCUGGGACCUCCGGGGCGGCCCCCUGGCCCCCGCCGCCUCCGCUCUGGCCUGCUCCUCCUGCUCCUUCGCACGGACGCUGAGACCUCCGCUGAGCCCUGGGACAAGCCCCAAAUGCAACUGCGAUUGCAGGCUUCGCAAGACCCGCCUCCUCCCAAGGCCAAAUUUGCCUGGGAGAAGUCAUUCAGGGCCCAGACUAGAACCAUGUUGGUGCCACCUCAUCCAUCUGGGGCAUGAAGGACCGUCCAGGGCUGCAGUUUAGCUUCUUAAUAGGAACCUGGGGGUGGGUGCAGCCUCUGUUCUCCGAGCCUCUUUGGAAAUCGGUUUUGUUUUUGUUUUUGUUUUUUCCAAUACUCUUUUCCUCUCAUCCCAUCCCGGGACUGUUUUCCUCCCUAAGGGUUGAGAGCCCUGCAGUCUUCCCUAACCUUUUCUUUGCUUCUACCCCAGGGCCUUUGCACAUGGAGUCCCACCUCUCCCCUUGCCCAACUGGGGCUCCAGCCUUACUGCAUUUGGCUCUUGGUAACUGUCCCAGGGCCUCUCUGACACACAGGGUUGUAGCCCCAGCUCCCUCUCUUCUCCUCCCCCCUUUCUCUUUUGCUUCUGAGACUUAAUUUUUUUCUUUUUCUUUUUGGCUUUUUGAGACAGGGUUUCUCUGUACAGCCCUGGCUGCCCUGGCACUCAUUCUGUAGACCAGGCUAGCCUCAAACUCACAAACCUACCUGCCUCUGCCUUUCCAGUGCUGGCACUAAAGAUGUGGGCCACCACAACUAGUAGUUAAGUGUUUUGCUGUGUCUUUAUUCCUAUAGUGACCUCAGUUCCUGGCAUAUUGUAGGCGAUGGAUGGAUGAAUGGAUGGAUGGAUGGAUGGAUGGAUGGAUGGAUGGAUGGAUGGAUGGAUGGAGCAAGCUUGAAUCGUCCUGAGUGAAAAAAGAGACCUCAGAGAACUGAAUGGAGUUAGGUUCCCAGGGCAGCCUGGCCUGCUGGUCUCAUGGGAGCUCCCUGUGAAACUUCCCCCACACCUCCCACCACCCUGCCAUCCUGUGUGGCUGACAAGAAAGGCCAAUGGCCAGAUGGGGACACAGACUCAGGGAAGCUUGGAAUAUGUUCCCCUCCUCAUAUCCUAGGCCUUGUUGUCCCCCUGAGGGCCCAGCCUAUGAGUAGGGCAGCUGUGGGCUGCCCUAAGGUUGGGUAGGCAAGAAGGGGGUGGUCCCUCAGGGUGGGUCACAGGAUUGAGGUAAUUUCCAAAGUGGCCAUCACAGUGGCCCUAGGAAAUGAUUGUGGAGAGUCAGAACUCCUGUUGGGAGUUGUAGAGGGCCUUGCAUGUGGGCUUCUGUGGCUGUCCCUUCUCUUGUGGUCCUUUGCACAGUCCCCUCGUGUGUGCUGGGAUGUGAGGAGGGCACGGGGAAAAUGAAGGCUCAGCCCCUCAGCUUGCCCUUCACGGUUCACCCAACAGGGCUCACCUCUCCUCUGGACAGGCUCUCACUGUAUGCACAGAUUGGCCUCACAUUUGAUUCCCUUCCUUUGGUCUCCUGGGAUGACAAACAUUUACCAGGGUAGGAUUUUACAUUUUAGAUAUGUCCAUUCUCCAGAAACACACUUGUGAGGUUAGGGUAUCAGUGAAAGGACACCACCAGGACAGACAAAGAAUUGGAGAGGAAGGAAAUUGGUAAGCCAGGCCAUGCUUGAUGGCUUAUGUGUGAUCCCAGAACUCUGGACGCUGAGGCAGGAGGAUUCCAAGUUUCAAGACAGUGUGUUCUAGGUAAUGAGACCCUGUC
rnacentral:lncRNA from 1 species